rnacentral:rRNA from 1 species
AACGAACGCUGGCGGCAGGCUUAACACAUGCAAGUCGAACGCACCUUUCGGGGUGAGUGGCAGACGGGUGAGUAACGCGUGGGAAUCUACCCUUCUCUACGGGAUAGCUCCGGGAAACUGGAAUUAAUACCGUAUACGUCCUGAGGGAGAAAGAUUUAUCGGGGAAGGAUGAGCCCGCGUUGGAUUAGCUAGUUGGUGGGGUAAAGGCCUACCAAGGCGACGAUCCAUAGCUGGUCUAAGAGGAUGAUCAGCCACAUUGGGACUGAGACACGGCCCAAACUCCUACGGGAGGCAGCAGUGGGGAAUAUUGGACAAUGGGCGCAAGCAUGAUCCAGCCAUGCCGCGUGAGUGAUGAAGGCCCUAGGGUUGUAAAGCUCUUUCAGUGGGGACGAUAAUGACGGUACCCACAGAAGAAGCCCCGGCUAACUUCGUG